AUUGAACGCUGGCGGCAUGCUUUACACAUGCAAGUCGAACGGUAACAGGCCGCAAGGUGCUGACGAGUGGCGAACGGGUGAGUAAUGCAUCGGAACGUGCCCAGUCGUGGGGGAUAACGCAGCGAAAGCUGUGCUAAUACCGCAUACGAUCUAUGGAUGAAAGCGGGGGACCGUAAGGCCUCGUGCGAUUGGAGCGGCCGAUGUCAGAUUAGGUAGUUGGUGGGGUAAAGGCCUACCAAGCCGACGAUCUGUAGCUGGUCUGAGAGGACGACCAGCCACACUGGGACUGAGACACGGCCCAGACUCCUACGGGAGGCAGCAGUGGGGAAUUUUGGACAAUGGGCGCAAGCCUGAUCCAGCAAUGCCGCGUGCAGGAAGAAGGCCUUCGGGUUGUAAACUGCUUUUGUACGGAACGAAACGGCCUGGGUUAAUACCCUGGGCUAAUGACGGUACCGUAAGAAUAAGCACCGGCUAACUACGUGCCAGCAGCCGCGGUAAGAC
rnacentral:rRNA from 1 species